rnacentral:tRNA from 1 species
GUGAGAAUAGUUCAACGGUAGAGCCCCGGCUUGUGGUGCCGGUUGUUGCGGGUUCGAAUCCCGUUUCUCACC